rnacentral:rRNA from 1 species
CGCUCAGGUGCGAAAGCGUGGGGAGCAAACAGGAUUAGAUACCCUGGUAGUCCACGCUGUAAACGAUGUCUAUUUAGAGGUUGUGGUCUUGAACCGUGUCUUCUGGAGCUAACGCGUUAAAUCGACCGCCUGGGGAGUACGGCCGCAAGGUUAAAACUCAAAUGAAUUGACGGUGGCCCGCACAAGCGGUGGAGCAUGUGGUUUAAUUCGAUGCAACGCGAAGAACCUUACCUA